rnacentral:lncRNA from 1 species
ACAAGAAAUAUCACAAUAUGCAGGAUAAGCCACUAAACCCAGAAGUUAAAGAUCAUUAAGAUUUUUUAUUCCAGGCCCUGAACUCUGGAAAUGGAUUAUCCAGUGGUACCCACCUUCCCUUGCAGUCCAGGAAUAAAUGUGUGACCCUGGCCUGACAGAACUUGUGUUGGACUUGGGAACAGUGACUGGAAAGAUUAUAAACCUGGUUACCAGCUCUAGCUGAAAUUACUGCCUGAGUUCAUCAAGGGAUAAGUUUGCUUGGUGAUUGAAGUUUAAAACAGAACUAUGUGGUAAGUUGAAUUGCUUCCCUUGAUUAUGAGCAGACCUGCUCUCAGGAGAUGACCUACUACUUGCUCUGCUGUCCCAUAACAAUCUUCUGCAGGGGAGGCAAGGAAUAGAGGCUGGGGAAAUAAUUUCCUC